AUUGAACGCUGGCGGCAGGCUUAACACAUGCAAGUCGAACGAUGAUUAUCUAGCUUGCUAGAUAUGAUUAGUGGCGGACGGGUGAGUAACAUUUAGGAAUCUGCCUAGUAGUGGGGGAUAGCUCGGGGAAACUCGAAUUAAUACCGCAUACGACCUACGGGUGAAAGGGGGCGCAAGCUCUUGCUAUUAGAUGAGCCUAAAUCAGAUUAGCUAGUUGGUGGGGUAAAGGCCCACCAAGGCGACGAUCUGUAACUGGUCUGAGAGGAUGAUCAGUCACACCGGAACUGAGACACGGUCCGGACUCCUACGGGAGGCAGCAGUGGGGAAUAUUGGACAAUGGGGGCAACCCUGAUCCAGCCAUGCCGCGUGUGUGAAGAAGGCCUUUUGGUUGUAAAGCACUUUAAGCAGGGAGGAGAGGCUAAUGGUUAAUACCCAUUAGAUUAGACGUUACCUGCAGAAUAAGCACCGGCUAACUCUGUGCCAGCAGCCGCGGUAAUACAGAGGGUGCGAGCGUUAAUCGGAAUUACUGGGCGUAAAGCGAGUGUAGGUGGCUCAUUAAGUCACAUGUGAAAUCCCCGGGCUUAACCUGGGAACUGCAUGUGAUACUGGUGGUGCUAGAAUAUGUGAGAGGGAAGUAGAAUUCCAGGUGUAGCGGUGAAAUGCGUAGAGAUCUGGAGGAAUACCGAUGGCGAAGGCAGCUUCCUGGCAUAAUAUUGACACUGAGAUUCGAAAGCGUGGGUAGCAAACAGGAUUAGAUACCCUGGUAGUCCACGCCGUAAACGAUGUCUACUAGCCGUUGGGGUCCUUGAGACUUUAGUGGCGCAGUUAACGCGAUAAGUAGACCGCCUGGGGAGUACGGCCGCAAGGUUAAAACUCAAAUGAAUUGACGGGGGCCCGCACAAGCGGUGGAGCAUGUGGUUUAAUUCGAUGCAACGCGAAGAACCUUACCUGGUCUUGACAUAGUGAGAAUCCUGCAGAGAUGCGGGAGUGCCUUCGGGAAUUCACAUACAGGUGCUGCAUGGCUGUCGUCAGCUCGUGUCGUGAGAUGUUGGGUUAAGUCCCGCAACGAGCGCAACCCUUUUCCUUAUUUGCCAGCGGGUUAAGCCGGGAACUUUAAGGAUACUGCCAGUGACAAACUGGAGGAAGGCGGGGACGACGUCAAGUCAUCAUGGCCCUUACGACCAGGGCUACACACGUGCUACAAUGGUAGGUACAGAGGGUUGCUACACAGCGAUGUGAUGCUAAUCUCAAAAAGCCUAUCGUAGUCCGGAUUGGAGUCUGCAACUCGACUCCAUGAAGUCGGAAUCGCUAGUAAUCGCAAAUCAGAAUGCUGCGGUGAAUACGUUCCCGGGCCC
rnacentral:rRNA from 1 species